rnacentral:rRNA from 1 species
CGCCCCCGCCCGCCUACGGGAGGCAGCAGUGGGGAAUAUUGGACAAUGGGGGAAAGCCUGAUUCAGCCAUGCCGGGUGUAUGAAGAAGGUCUUCGGGUUGUAAAGCACUUUAAGUUGGGAGGAAGGGAAUUAUGUUAAUACUUUGAUGUUUUGACGUUUCCCACAGAAAAAGCCCCGGCUAAAUUUGUGCCCGCCGCCGGGGUAAUACGGAGGGGGCAAGGGUUUAUUGGAAUUUCUGGGGGUAAAGGGGGGGUAGGGGGUUUUUUAAGUUGGAUGUGAAAUCCCCGGGCUUAACCUGGGAAAUGCAUUUAAAAAUGGCGAGUUUGAGUUUGGUAGGGGGUGGUGGAAUUUCCGGUGUAGGGGUGAAAUGUGUAGAAAUUGGGAGGAACCCCCGUGGGGAAGGGGGCCCCCUGGACUAAUAAUGACCGUGAGGUGGGAAAGGGUGGGGAGCAAACAGGAUUAAAUACCCUGGUAGUCCCCCCCGUAAACGAUGUCGACUAGCCGUUGGGAUCCCUGAGAUCUCAGUGCCGCAGC